GUAUGUGCACAGGCUAAUCAGGGACGACAUCCCAGGUAUGUGCACAGGCUAAUCAGGGACGACAUCUCAGGUAUGUGCACAGGCUAAUCAGGGACGACAUCCCAGGUAUGUGCACAGGCUAAUCAGGGACGACAUCUCAGGUAUGUGCACAGGCUAAUCAGGGACGACAUCCCAGGUAUGUGCACAGGCUAAUCAGGGACGACAUCUCAGGUAUGUGCACAGGCUAAUCAGGGACGACAUCUCAGGUAUGUGCACAGGCUAAUCAGGGACGACAUCUCAGGUAUGUGCACAGGCUAAUCAGGGACGACACAUUCUGCCUAGACUGGAUUUAUUCUAAGAAGAUACUUCCUAUAAACGAAACAUACUAUACA